rnacentral:rRNA from 1 species
UUAAGUUGUUGCGGUUAAAAGCUCGUAGUUGGAUUUCUGUUGAGGUCGGGCGGUGUGCACCUCGUGCAUUAUUUGCUUCGGUCUCGGCAUCCUCUUGGGGAACGUCUCAGGACUUUAUUGGACUGGGCGAGAUUCAAGACUUUUACUUUGAGGAAAUUAGAGUGUUCACGGCAGGCAAGUGCUUUGAAUACAUUAGCAUGGAAUAAUAAUAUAGGACCUUCGUUCUAUUUUGUUGGUUUCUAGAACUUAGGUAAUGAUUAAUAGGGACAAUUGGGGGCAUUCGUAUUAACGCGUCAGAGGUGGAAUUCUUGUAUUGCGUUACGACGAACUACUGCGAAAGCAUUUGCCAAAGAUGUUUUCAUUGAUCAAGAACGAAAGUAUGGGGAUCGAAGACGCUUAGAUACCGUCGUAGUCUAUACCAUAAACUAUGCCAACUAGAGAUCGGUGGGGUUAUCCUAUGUGGCUCCAUCGGCAUCUUAUGAGAAAUCAAAGUUUUUGGGCUCCGGGGGGAGUAUGGUCGCAAGGCU